AAUAAGUGCAGCCGUGGAUAUCUAUGCCCAACGUUUGACCGUCCGUCUUAUUUAAAAAAUUUGAAAAUAUUUAGUCACACAUAAAGUACUAUUCAUGUUUUAUCAUCUAAUAGCAAUAAAAAUACUAAUAAUAAAAUUUUUUCAAAUAAGACGAACAGUCAAAUAUUGAACAUGAAUAGUACAAAACUGCACUUAUU
rnacentral:pre_miRNA from 1 species